rnacentral:lncRNA from 1 species
UCUCUGCGUGGUCUCAUAAACCUUCCUUUCACUUCCUCUAUGGCUGGAAAAGAGAAGAUUCCUGGCAGAAAACACUGUAGGAUUGAGUGAAGAACCAAGCAGUUCAACAGCAGGGACUGAAGUGAGAUGGGAGAAUGGAGGAAUAUGCUGAAAAUACAGAGGUUUCUAUGUACUUCUGAUGGCAAAAGAUCUUGUCAAGUAGCCAGUUUACACUAGCAAUUUGUUGUGAAAACACAACCCAAAUGGUCAGCAGGAUCCUGUGAAUCUGGAUAUUUUCACUAGCAAGCAGCAAAAUCUAUACACCAGACCAUCAUUGCAUCACAUGCAUUUUGCAGUACAACCAUAACUGUUUAUGUGACCUGCCUGAUUUUGGUGCACUUGUCUCACAUUUU